AUGUACACAUAUCCAUUCUUUUUCAGAGGGGCCAGUCCAACUCAAAGAAUCAUUUUUUUUUUUUCCUUCUUGAAGGAGUUAGGCUCCUGUGAAUCCUACAAAGCCGAGGCUGCUGACCAGAGCACUCAUUCAAGUUAUCUGAGUGGGAUGAUCAAAUUUUUGAAGAUUUCUCUGUGAGAGAUUUCCUAUUAGUUCCAAUCCACACUGAUGACCUAGGAAGAUGCCAGCAAGAAAGAAUUAAGCACAUUUGAUGAAUUGCAAAAAUGACACCCCAGUCUUUAUUUCUUGGAGACUAAUGGAACACGUUAAGCACCCCAGAUGUCUUAAUCUCUACCCUAAAGGAAAAUGUGUUGGGUGAAAUAUGUCCACAAUAAAUAUGUAGAAACUUAGUCUACA
rnacentral:lncRNA from 1 species